rnacentral:rRNA from 1 species
UUUUAUUUGAGAGUUUGAUCCUGGCUCAGGAUGAACGCUGGCGGCGUGCCUAACACAUGCAAGUUGAGCGAUUUACUUCGGUAAAGAGCGGCGGACGGGUGAGUAACGCGUGGGUAACCUACCCUGUACACACGGAUAACAUACCGAAAGGUAUGCUAAUACGGGAUAAUAUAUUUGAGAGGCAUCUCUUAAAUAUCAAAGGUGAGCCAGUACAGGAUGGACCCGCGUCUGAUUAGCUAGUUGGUAAGGUAACGGCUUACCAAGGCGACGAUCAGUAGCCGACCUGAGAGGGUGAUCGGCCACAUUGGAACU